UACGGAGGGUGCAAGCGUUGUUCGGAAUUACUGGGCGUAAAGCGCGUGUAGGCGGCCCUUCAAGUCUGGUGUGAAAGCCCGGGGCUCACCCCCGGAAGUGCACUGGAAACUGGAAGGCUCGAGUACCGGAGAGGAGGGUGGAAUUCCUGGUGUAGCGGUGAAAUGCGUAGAUAUCAGGAGGAACACCGGUGGCGAAGGCGGCCCUCUGGACGGAUACUGACGCUGAGACGCGAAAGCGUGGGGAGCAAACAGG
rnacentral:rRNA from 1 species